rnacentral:rRNA from 1 species
GAUGAACGCUAGCUACAGGCUUAACACAUGCAAGUCGAGGGGCAGCAUUUUAGUUUGCUUGCAAACUAAAGAUGGCGACCGGCGCACGGGUGAGUAACACGUAUCCAACCUGCCGAUAACUCGGGGAUAGCCUUUCGAAAGAAAGAUUAAUAUCCGAUAGUAUAUUAAAACCGCAUGGUUUUACUAUUAAAGAAUUUCGGUUAUCGAUGGGGAUGCGUUCCAUUAGUUUGUUGGCGGGGUAACGGCCCACCAAGACUACGAUGGAUAGGGGUUCUGAGAGGAAGGUCCCCCACAUUGGAACUGAGACACGGUCCAAACUCCUACGGGAGGCAGCAGUGAGGAAUAUUGGUCAAUGGACGAGAGUCUGAACCAGCCAAGUAGCGUGAAGGAUGACUGCCCUAUGGGUUGUAAACUUCUUUUAUAUGGGAAUAAAGUAUUCCACGUGUGGGAUUUUGUAUGUACCAUAUGAAUAAGGAUCGGCUAACUCCGUGCCAGCAGCCGCGGUAAUACGGAGGAUCCGAGCGUUAUCCGGAUUUAUUGGGUUUAAAGGGAGCGUAGGUGGAUUGUUAAGUCAGUUGUGAAAGUUUGCGGCUCAACCGUAAAAUUGCAGUUGAAACUGGCAGUCUUGAGUACAGUAGAGGUGGGCGGAAUUCGUGGUGUAGCGGUGAAAUGCUUAGAUAUCACGAAGAACUCCGACUGCGAAGGCAGCUCACUAGACUGCAACUGACACUGAUGCUCGAAAGUGUGGGUAUCAAACAGGAUUAGAUACCCUGGUAGUCCACACAGUAAACGAUGAAUACUCGCUGUUUGCGAUAUACAGUAAGCGGCCAAGCGAAAGCAUUAAGUAUUCCACCUGGGGAGUACGCCGGCAACGGUGAAACUCAAAGGAAUUGACGGGGGCCCGCACAAGCGGAGGAACAUGUGGUUUAAUUCGAUGAUACGCGAGGAACCUUACCCGGGCUUAAAUUGCAUUUGAAUAAUCUGGAAACAGGUUAGCCGCAAGGCAAAUGUGAAGGUGCUGCAUGGUUGUCGUCAGCUCGUGCCGUGAGGUGUCGGCUUAAGUGCCAUAACGAGCGCAACCCUUAUCUUUAGUUACUAACAGGUUAUGCUGAGGACUCUAGAGAGACUGCCGUCGUAAGAUGUGAGGAAGGUGGGGAUGACGUCAAAUCAGCACGGCCCUUACGUCCGGGGCUACACACGUGUUACAAUGGGGGGUACAGAAGGCAGCUACCUGGCGACAGGAUGCUAAUCCCAAAAACCUCUCUCAGUUCGGAUCGAAGUCUGCAACCCGACUUCGUGAAGCUGGAUUCGCUAGUAAUCGCGCAUCAGCCAUGGCGCGGUGAAUACGUUCCCGGGCCUUGUACACACCGCCCGUCAAGCCAUGAAAGCCGGGGGUACCUGAAGUACGUAACCGCAAGGAGCGUCCUAGGGUAAAACUGGUAA